rnacentral:rRNA from 1 species
CCUACGGGGGGCAGCCGUGAGGAAUAUUUGUCAAUGGCCGAGAGGCCGAACCAGCCAAGUCGCGUGAGGGAAGACGGCCCUACGGGUUGUAAACCUCUUUUGUCGGGGAGCAAAGCGAGUCACGUGUGACUCAUUGAGAGUACCCGACGAAAAAGCAUCGGCUAACUCCGUGCCAGCAGCCGCGGUAAGACGGAGGAUGCGAGCGUUAUCCGGAUUUAUUGGGUUUAAAGGGUGCGCAGGCGGAGGUGCAAGUCAGCGGUCAAAUUGCGGGGCUCAACCCCGUACUGCCGUUGAAACUGCAGCCCUUGAGUGCGCGAGAAGUAUGCGGAAUGCGUGGUGUAGCGGUGAAAUGCAUAGAUAUCACGCAGAACUCCGAUUGCGAAGGCAGCAUACCGGCGCGCAACUGACGCUCAUGCACGAAAGCGUGGGUAUCGAACAGGAUUAGAUACCCCAGUAGUC